rnacentral:misc_RNA from 1 species
GGUAGUGUCAAAUUGAUGGGGUAAAGGCUUGUGCCAUGAAAAUGACAAUGAUGCCACUCACUGUUAGAAAAUUGACAUUUUAAUGUUUUUCACUAUGAGUAUAAUUGAUAUAAUGUCAUGAUUCAAGGGCUAAAAUUUUAAGAAAUUUUGCAGUCCCAACUACUGCUGCUCAAGGAAACAGCAUAGUUUAGAAUAUUUGAUUGACAUUGUUUAAUGUUGGCUCAAACUGAAGCAAUACAUUCUAAUUUAUGUAAAUAUUGUACUUCGGGUAUGUCUCUACUUUCUUAUAGUUUAGGUUCCUGAGAUGUGCUGUUUGUUUACAUAUUAUGACCUAUGCAAUUUGUCUGUACUAUUGUCAUGAUAAUAAUGUUCAAUGGGACUUGAACAAAUAACAGUUUUUCCUGAUAUGUUAAUGAGAAUUCACUCUCUUCCAAUUUGAAUUUGUAGGCUAAACAGCACAAUCCUUGGUAUAUUGUCAAAUAAACUUACUGACUUGUUAGGACUGAGGAUAAUUACCUGAUUUAAAUACUAUGCUUUCUGAUUUGAGAUAUCCAAAUCUAUUGAAUAUUAAGUAGACUAGCUAUUUUGGUCGCUCUUCUCAUGGUCUGUGGACUACAUAAGGAUGCCAGGGUGGUGUGAACUGAGAGACUCUUAAAGUGAUCCUGAAUGUUUAUUAGCGUAGAGAGGAGAAUAAUAAGGGAAUUGUGCAGGAUGCAUUAGGUGCAGUAGGAACAGUUGAAUAUAUGUUUGAAUUAGUGUUGACUGUUGAGAUAUAAAGAAGUUUGUAAGGUGCAUAUUGUAAGAAUUACACCGUAAAUUUCCGGGUUGUCCCUGGUGUUUCAAUGAUAAUAUUAUUUUAAAUAAGCCUAGUGGUUAUUUCACAUUAAGUGGUGAAAUUGUUAGUCUGAGAUGUAGAGUGCCUACAACUUUGGAAUCAGGUUUUUUGUUACUAUAAAUUGCUCAUCUGGACUCCAGCUAGUGAAUAUGGG